GGGUUGUGAGGUUAAGCGACUAAGCGUACACGGUGGAUGCCCUGGCAGUCAGAGGCGAUGAAGGGCGUGCUAAUCUGCGAUAAGCGCCGGUAAGGUGAUAUGAACCGUUAUAACCGGCGAUACCCGAAUGGGGAAACCCAGUGUGACUCGUCACACUAUCAUUAACUGAAUCCAUAGGUUAAUGAGGCGAACCGGGGGAACUGAAACAUCUAAGUACCCCGAGGAAAAGAAAUCAACCGAGAUUCCCCCAGUAGCGGCGAGCGAACGGGGAGGAGCCCAGAGCCUGAAUCAGCAUGUGUGUUAGUGGAAGCGUCUGGAAAGGCGCGCGAUACAGGGUGACAGCCCCGUACACAAAAGCGCAUGUGCUGUGAGCUCGAUGAGUAGGGCGGGACACGUGGUAUCCUGUCUGAAUAUGGGGGGACCAUCCUCCAAGGCUAAAUACUCCUGACUGACCGAUAGUGAACCAGUACCGUGAGGGAAAGGCGAAAAGAACCCCGGCGAGGGGAGUGAAAAAGAACCUGAAACCGUGUACGUACAAGCAGUGGGAGCACAGGUUUACCUGUGUGACUGCGUACCUUUUGUAUAAUGGGUCAGCGACUUAUAUUCUGUAGCAAGGUUAACCGAAUAGGGGAGCCGGAGGGAAACCGAGUCUUAAUUGGGCGUUAAGUUGCAGGGUAUAGACCCGAAACC
rnacentral:rRNA from 2 species